AUGGUGUUUGGAGGUCGACUGGCACUGACCGGGUUGGUCCUCGGAUGGGUGGUGGUUGUGUGGACACGGAGAUCCUUCUUCCUCAUCGUCGGUAUGAUUUCCUAUUGCGUUUCUUCUUCCUUCUUUCUGUUGUUGCUGGAGGGAUGUCAUGCUUUGCCCGGGCAGUUGGCUCGACCGCGGCGGCGGAACCAUAUCCCAGUUCUCUUUCAUGUGGAAGGGGCAUAUACAUCGGUACGCAAAGCCACAGAUGGCGAAGACUGGUGCAUGCAUGUUGGAUGCAUGUGUGUGUCCUUGUCUUUUCGGUGCCGGAGUUAA
rnacentral:rRNA from 1 species